GGGAAAAGAUCUAAAUUCACUGCAUAACAAUGCACAACGAGCUUAUGUAGAUUUAAUGAAUCAUGUAAUAACCCAAAUUUGCCCGACCCAAAUCAGAAAUAAAUAAAUAAAAAAACAUUAAUAAAAACAAAAUUAUUAAAAGUCCAUCAGUCCAUAUUACUAACUCAAAAUACAUCAGACCUACUAAGCCCCAAUAUCACAACCCAAUUAUUAACCCAACUACAGCCCAAAAUAGCUAAACACAAACCCACUAAGACCCACUAACCUAAC
rnacentral:lncRNA from 1 species